AUGAAGAUGUGUAAGACAAUACCUACAUUCAUCCUGCUGCUUACAGGGUAUUUUGUUAAAAAUAUGCAUGUUCAUGCAACAGAUCCAACACUAUUAUUGCAAACUACUUCCAGUGUCACAGAAGCUUCUCACCAAGAAACAGCAACAGCUGAUUCAAAACCAGUAACAACCGGACCAGAAAAUGAGUCGAGUCCCGUUCCAGGUUCAUUUCUUAAUUUAUUACUUUCUACAAAUCCUAUGUCAGUCCUUCCCGCAGCGUGGAUACCUAAGUCUUGUGAAUUUACUCUUUUCAUUUUUGUCACUGUUGUUUUCUACCAGCUGACUCUUGCGAGUUCUCCACUCUUUCUGUGCAUAUCCUGCUGUGCCUCUUCCUGUUUGCAGUCUGAUUUUGCCCUACUGCAUCUUGACACUGUCACUGUAGUGGAAGUUGCUUCUUUUCUCAGCUAUUGCUAAGCCUGCUGCCUAAGAUAUUGAAGUCAUAGAAACAUAGAAACACAAGGUUGGAAAGGACCUACACGAUCAUCUCGUCCAACCGUCAUCCUAUCACCAAUACUACCCACUACGCUACUAAAUUAUAUCUCAUAGCACCUUGUUCAGGUGCUUCUUGAACACUGUGAGGGACGGUGACUCCACCACCUCCAACGUUCCAAUGCCUAAGCACUCUUCGAGAGGAAAAGUUUUCCUGAUACCUAAUCUAAAUCUCCCCAGGCACAACUUGUUGCCAUUUCCUCAAGUCCUAUCAUUAUUUACCUGAGAGAAGAGGCUCCUCAUUACAACCUUCCUUCAGGAACUUGUAGAGUGCAAUGAUAUAUGGCCCUGCUAUAAUAGAUACACUGAGC
rnacentral:lncRNA from 1 species